rnacentral:miRNA from 1 species
ACCUGAGGUUGUGCAUUUCUAA